UAGCCAAGUGGAUUAAGGCAGUGGAU
rnacentral:tRNA from 2 species